GCAGGCGUUAAACAAGGGCAGAAACGGCUUCCUGUUCCAUGAACUCAUUCAAGUCCAAAGGAUAGUCCACUGGUCGUCCUGAGAGCCCGUACAACACAAUAGGAAAUCACAGGCUUCACCAAGUAACAGGCUGACGUCUAGUUUAGAAACAUCUAAGAACUGAGAAACAUCCCCCAAAAUGUUUACCCUGCAGUGGGAGAGCACUCCUUUAAUCCCAGCACUCAAGAGGCAGAAACAGGUGAAUUUCUGAGUUCAAGGCCAGCCUGAUCUACAGCACACUAUGGCACCACACACAUGGUCUGGUGGUCCUGGGUUCUAUGAGAAAGCAG
rnacentral:lncRNA from 1 species